UUCAUUUAUGAUAUUUUCAGCUAGCAAAUUUUAUCGACGGUAAGCAAACUUCGUAGACCGGCAUAUGAACAUUUUGCCAGUUGCUAGAAGUGAAAUCCACAAGCUUAGAGAGUCAGUAUUCAAAAAUUAGCUUUCGUUUGUACUUGUUUGAAAGCUGCUCAAUGAUGCUCGUCCCUGCACUCGCGCUCUUUCUCCUGGUGGCGACCUUUUCGGCACCGUCAACCGGAGCGCCUGCUGAAAAGAGUUCUUUAAAAAUUAUGGAGCCGUGUAUGCUGAAGCCGUGUAUGCAGCCUAUUUGCAAACCUCCAAAGGUGGCAACUCCGUGUUCUUGCGACUGUGUUUUGCCAAAGAAUCAUUCCGGAAACCAUCGGUAAACACCCUUUUGCAUGCAUGUUCCGUCGUUCCGAUAAGAAUUUUCGCUGUUUUCUUGCGGAAUAUAAUAAAAUCAUCAGGAGAAAACUGUGGUUAUUGUUAAAUUUUAGCUAUUUAUUUGUUGUUGCCGAAAAACGCCAAGCAGUAAAGAUUGCACCGAGCGGCAGACUUAACUCUAAAAAUGUAAUUAUGUAAAUAAAGAAUAU